AUUGAACGCUGGCGGCAGGCCUAACACAUGCAAGUCGAACGAGUGGCGGACGGGUGAGUAAUGUCUGGGAAACUGCCUGAUGGAGGGGGAUAAAUACUGGAAACGGUAGCUAAUACCGCAUACCAUCGGAUGUGCCCAGAUGGGAUUAGCUAGUAGGUGGGGUAAAGGCUCACCUAGGCGACGAUCCCUAGCUGGUCUGAGAGGAUGACGGGCAAAACUGGAGCGGAGAGACGGUCAAGACGCCUACGGGAGGAAGCAGUGGGGAAUAUUGCACAAGGGGGGCAAGCCUGCUGCAGAAAGGCCGGUUGUAUGAAGAAGGCCUUCGGGUUGUAAAGUACUUUCAGCGGGGAGGCGUUACCCGCAGAAGAAGCACCGGCUAACUCCGUGCCAGCAGCCGCGGUAAUAC
rnacentral:rRNA from 1 species